UUCAUGUGGUGAGACUUGGUUGCAUUUAGUUGAGUUGCUGGCCAAGGGAUUCCCAUUGAAUUCCUCAAACAACCCAGCCUGUUGCUCAGACAAAAAAAAAAAAAAAGUGACCUUCAAUCACAACUGAAGUGAGCUACAGGCGAAAUGGAAGCAUCUCCACGUUCCCUGACCUCCUGUACCCUGGGUCCCCUUGACCAGAAGUUCAGUUGGGAGCAGCUUUCAGAGCUGGAAGCAUACUUCAAGGUGGAACCAUACCCAGACCUCCAGGCUCGAAAGAUCAUGGCCACCAGACUGAAACUGAAAGAGGAACAAGUUGAGGCUUGGUUCAUCCAGAGAUCCUCAGAGGAGGAGAUGCGGCCCCCCUUGGCCAGGCUGCAGCAGUCUGCCCGGGAUGAUACCUCUUCUCCUUCCCACAAAGCCCUCUGCUGCAGGCCACCAAGCUGGAAGUACAGGCUCAUUCCCAUCAAUCCCCCUGAGUCCCCGACCAGCUGUAAGCACAGUUGCUGAUCCUCCUUCCCCAUGGGCCACUCCAACAUGUACCACAAAAACUGUUUCCCCAAUUCCCCACCCCCUAUCAGAGGCCUGGCUGCACCAAACUCAUCAAAUGGUGGAUGCCUCCCAGAACCCUCAGGGUCAAUGUUUGAAUACCUGGGUGCCAGGACAGAUGACAUUGGACAGAAAUGCUGCAGAAAUGGUGUUGAGUCUCCACCUAGGGCCUCCACUUGAUAUGUCCAGGGCCAAACCCCCUGGUGUGGUUCCACUUCUUUUAACAGCCUCCCCUCAAAAGUGGCCUCUCCUUCAGGAUAGCUAUCAACUCAAUGUGCAGCACAGUAUCACACUGACUUCUUGCCUCCUUUCCCAAGGCAUGGUUACAGACUGACAUAUACUGCCAGAACAACCACUUCCCAAGAGAUUGACUGGUUAACAAGGCUGGAUUUUUAUCCCCUCUGACCUUGAUCACUCAUGUUGUACCAAUGAGUAAUUUAUUGGUUUGUGUGUGAUUGGAUUGUAUUUUUUUUUUGGUCUAUUGGUGUUUCUGAGGCACCUGCUUGGGGAUUUAGAUCUUGGAGUGGCUCAUUGAUAACAUGAAAUUGUUGACAAAUUGGUUUUUAAUAAAUAAAUAAAUAA